UAUAGUUUGUAGCAUUUACUGUAUGGUAAUAUAUAGUAAUAUUAGGUUUUAAAGAUGGUGAAUAGUUGCAGUUAAAAUAGGAGUAUUGUACAUUAUAUUACACUGUGUGAUGAUGUGUGUGGGUGUGAUAGUAGUCAGUUUAAUUGAUAUACUCUUUACUCCUAUCUUACUGUAAGAUGUGAAUAUGUGCUAUUAUUAUUUAUUAAAGCAGGCAGAUCACGUCUGGCUCAUGUUAUCUGUCCGUGUAGGAGUUCAGGCUGUUCACUCUGAUUUAUGGCUGUGGGGUCUAACUAUGUAUAUUUACAGUCUCAUGACCUGAAAAUGACACCCACUGGGCUGAACAAGUAGGGGAGGAAAGGGCUUUGGAGGGUCACAGACCGUAGUGCACACAAAUAUAUACAGACACACAUUAUGUGUUUUUAUCCAAUAUGGUCACAUAGGGGCAUGCCUGCACUUUUUGGGUCCCGUGUCUGCAGCACAGAUUAUUUAUUUUAAAGUGUAGUUAACCUUUUGUUGCAUUCUGACUAAAAUCAAAUGUUAAUAAUUCUAUAUGCUUUGACAUGCAUGUAAAGUAAAUGUAUUUAGUGGUCAAGUUAAACAAAAAAUUCAGUGCAAUGGCUGUUGCUAAUUAAAGCAACAAAUAGGAGUGAUCCUGGGAAAAGUGGCAACUAAGAAAUGCAAAUUACCGCACGUCAACACAUCAACAGAAUGACUCCUGGAGUCAGACUAGUGCAGAUUGAGUGAAGUGGAGGGUAAGAAAUUGCAGAGCGUUAAAUAAGGUGACAGCUGCAUGUUUACAGAACCCAAAGCCCAGGGGUGUGGGUGGCGAGGAUUGACACUUCAGCUUCAGAUUGUCACGGGCCCAUUUCCAAAGAGGCAAAUGGUCCUUGGCAAUAAGUGAAGUUCACAUGGGUUGGAUUAAACUGCUGAUGAUAGUUUGUACCUUUGCAGUGUGGUGAUAAAAAGGUUGUGGCCAUGUGUUUGUGUGAUUUGCAUGUCUCUGUCAAGCUCUACUUGACAAAAUAAAUGCCUUCAAUUUCUUUCUUUUUUACAUUUCAUUUCUGCAUUGUCAGAGCAUUCUGUUGAUAAAUGUCUUUCUUUUACCUAUAAAUUUGCUCUUUCUGCUUCUUUCUCAACUACCUUUCCUGUGCCUCUCAUCUGAGUCCAUGUAUUUUUUGGAAAGUGCUGGUCUUUAAGCAUUCUCCCUCAGAGUAAUAUUAGAAGAAUGCUGUCAAUCUCCUGCAUAUGGUUUAGUUAUGCAGCUCCAGCUCCAUAUAACAAUCACAAAGUAAUGAAGACUUAAAGUACACCGAAUCAACUAGCCUGGCUCUGUUCUAGUUGUUCAAAAGCAUGGCAGUCCAACACCUCUGAAGUUCACUAAUUUAAGCCUCGUACCUUAUUUGUUUAGCCACAACACAGUCUUUAAUUUACUGUCCAAGCACCAACUCUAACAUUACGCUCUUUGACUAUUUUUGGCAACCCACCCUGUAUCCCGAUUUGCAGUCUCAAAAUGUGUUUUGUUCUCUUCGGUAAAUGUACAGGACAAGUGAGAUUUGUCUUAAUUAGUCAUGACUCUCGCUCCAAGAAUUUAAACUGAAGUUUCAGAACUAUUUAUUUAACUCUACUCUUGUUUUCCUCUCUCGCCCUUUUUUGUGUUUGGAGAUUCACAGAUUCUGAUUGGUUGUUCCAGGAGGAAUAAACGAUGUGAAGCUGGGCUCAGAGAAGGGGUCGCUGUGUUUUAUGAGCCAUUAAAGUUUUAUUCAUCCCUGUACCGAGGCAGCCUUCGGCCAUGGGGUCACCAUGCUUUAAAUAAACUCCCAUCAUUCCUCUCCCCCCACCUCCCCAAUAUCUGCCUUCCCACUCCCUGCUCCCCCAACCCUUUCACCCACAGACUUAAUGGACUGUUUAUUGUUUGAUGUUCAAGUCCGACUUCAUCAUUUUUUCCCUCUCUCGCGCUCUUUCUCUGUUUUCCGCUCUCCACUAGUGUUUAGCGGUAUGGAGGUUUGACUGAUGCGGUUUGUCCGUGUAUUUGUGUUAUAUGUGUGGUUCAUUUGCGUGUGAGUGCGAGUCCUUGCAUGUAUGGGCUCUGCAUACAUGCAGAAUGUCUAUAAAUUCCUUUGGUGUGCCAUGGUUUCCUCUUCAUAAUAUCUUCCCUCCACUCGUCUGUUUCAUGAGUGGAUGCAAGCUUUUACGGCGUAUGACUGAAUGUUUAGUUUUUAAAAACAAGGAAAGGAAAGCACAUCAGUGAACCACACUGUUGCACUAGUGAUGUGCAAUAUCUUCAUUACUUGAUCGUGAGCAUGGCUACCAAUAACCAUUUUGAAGCAAAGGUAAAUUAAUCCAUGCUUUACAUUUUUAACAUAUAUAAUACUUGAGAAAAAGUUUGCUAGAAAUCUGUAUACAUUCUGAAGUUGCACCCUCAUAAAUGUGGUUGGAGCUUACAUGGAUAGGAAAGGAAAAAAGUACUGAAACAAUAAGUAGAUGUACUCAGAAGUACACAUUGUUUAAACUUGUGUGACCACUCUAUUGAUGCAUUUUUGGUGUCAAAGCCCAGGUGUCCUGGGGGGGGGAUACAUAGUUGUCUGGUGAGGAAAUUAAUCUCAAGUAGCACACAUUCCUGCAAGAUUCCUAUUUAAUGUGUGCACUGGAUUUCUGCUUACCUCACGCUCAUUUAAAAAAUUGUCACUGCUAUAAUUUCCUACAGUUGUAAAAUCUGUCCUCGUGGAGUUAUAAACCAGAGUACAGUGUUUUGGCAUCUAAUAAGCAACUUCUCUAUUAGUCAAAGUGGACAUCUUGGAUCUCACCUGCAGUGAUAUACCCCACUCCUCCAGCUCCUUCCUGUUGUUUAGUCUUUUAAAAAAAAGGAACAAAUCUAAAUGCUCAUUUUUUCAUGGGCUUUCUUCACCAUAUGCUUAUCAUUUUUACUUUAAAGAUGCAGUAGUUCAUCAACCUGGAGCUUGCAAAGCACUUUUUGGCCGAGGGGGACAGAGUGAUAGAAGAGAUAUUUGUGAGGGGGGAGAGAUGAAGAGUUUGCAGAGUUCCCUUACAAGCUGUGUUACAACUGACCCUAUCCUCAACUUUGGCCCAUGACCCUACCAGAGAUCUGUCAUGAGAGAGGGAGCUGCUUAACACAAAAUGGAGCCUGGUGCAAGAGUCAGAAAGAGAGAGAGAAACACAGAGAGAGUGGGGAACAGAGAGAGAGAGAGAGAGAGAGAGAGAGGGGGUGAGAGAGCAUUAGUGCACACAGAGGACUCAUUUAUCUGCUCUCUCACUUGACUUCAGUUUUUUCUUCCUCUCCUUUGCUUUCUCUUUUGUUUUCACUCCACAGACACUGUUGCCCUUUCUCCCAAUACAUCCCGUCUUUUUUCCCUCUGCCCCCCUCCCCUUCCCUCCCAAUCUUCUCACCCUCAUCUGGUUGAUUUUGGACAACAGCAUGCCAUCAUCAGCAGCCACCACCACCACAGGUACGGAUUCAUGGCGGCAAGGACCAGCAGGAUUCUGGGAGGGAAUUUGUGAGAUGAAGCUUUAAUGAGAGCGAGGCCUCGUCAGCUUGGAAGAAAUGUAUGCUAAUGAUAUGCACACACCAAAAGGACCCUGGGUAGGCAAGGCAAGUGCUGGCCGAGCUCCCGCUGAGCUCUGAGGAAGAUGAGCAGCUCAGGUCAGAAGAAUAGCAACAAAAACGCCUCCUCCUCCUUUUCUUCUUCCCUUUUCUUCCAUCCGCAUCCACAAGGGCAGAGAAAAACUGGUUAACUUAAACCCUUAGAAAUGAGGUUGUGUUGCCACAUGAUGCUGCUGUUGAUGUAUUUUAGUUUCUGGAUUUCUCAUUUUUUCCUUUUCUUCAUCUUUGCAAGCACAUUGACAUUGUGGGUUGAAUUAGCUGGAGAUUAAACACAUCUGUGGUUUACAUCCAGACUUUCCAGAAUUUUAACUGUCAUAAAUAAUGACAGUUAAAAAUGAAAUUGUGCUCCAGAGAGAUGCAAUGUGUGUCCUCUAAUUGUGCUCAAAGUUGUCUUUAAUAAUAGAAAAAUUGAUAUUAAUUUGUUUUGAUACUUCAUUUAGAAAUUUAAACUCACCACACCCCUAGUUAAUAAUGGUGUAUGGGCAGUAUUUAAAUGAAAUGACCUGUUUUCAUUCAGGAAUAAAGUGUAUUUGUUAUUAAUUAAGGAAAGAUGCUUGUUACUGGAAAUAAUGUUGCUAAAUGCAAUUUAUAUUUAUUUCAGUGUUAUCAAGUAUGUUUCAGUUACUGAUUCACAUGCAUUUUGUUUUUAUUAUAUAUUUUAGUGCCAAACUUUUAAUUUAUCCUGAAAUUAUGCUUGAAUUAAUAAAUAAGCCAUGUAUUUUGUAGUAGCCUUUAUUAAAUAAAUGAAUAUUUUGGAAUGCAAGUAAAUAAUGUCUGAUAUUUCUGUUUAUCUAAUGAUCAGAUCUGUUUUCUGGGGAGACUUUUCAGUAACGUUAUUUCCUUUUAUCAUAGAUUUUAUUUACAAUUGUGCAUUAAUUUUUUAAAAUUAUUAUUAUGUUAACGGGAAAGUAAAUAAAAAAAAUCACUUCGUUUAAAGCGUCUUUUAGCGCUAUAUAAAAUUAUCUAAUUCACUUGUUACCAAACUGAACAUUUAAGUGUUGAUUUAAAAAAAAAACUAUGCAGAAUUCACAUCAGCAUUAACGUUACGGUGCAGUCCCUGCUCUCCUCUCCUCUUCUCUGUUUCUUUGCUCGGAGUAUCGCUCCUGCAGGAAUUACUGGCCUGUCUGAUCUGAUUGCCGCUUGAAAAAAAAAGGAAGGAAGAAAAGAAAAACGAAUAAAGGACGAAGCGAGACAUCAGCGCGACGAUCUCGACGGCGUUAACUAGUGAUCGUAAAAAGCGCCAGAGUCCAGCCGCAUCAGAAAUGGAAACCUCUUUUUCCACCGUCGCCUUCGGGGGUGAAUAAACAAGAGGAAACGGGAUGAGAAGUGGGGAAAAAUCCAUUGAGUCUUGGGAAGAAAAUGAGAGUGGCACCUGAUGAUGUCGACUUUGACACGUGUUAAUUGCUGCUCAGCUCUCCUCAUCAGGGAGUCUCAAAUUAUUUUAGCGCUCCGGGCCACAGCGCCUUGUUUGCUUUGCUGAGGAAAGGAAGCAAGCUGGCCCAAACUUCAAAUGAUAAAAUGGCUUCAUCGAUAGGAAAAUCAGACAAAACUGCUUCACUGCACUUCUGGCUACAUUUAAACAUCUUUGAUUUCAGUUUCCUGCUGUAUCCUCAGCUUUUACCAACAACGCUCCUCUCAACCAGCAUACUCAAAUACACAGUUUUACUUCAGUGCCUGAGAGCACCAAUACUCAUUUUCUCUACUUCACACUUCUUACCUGUUGACAUGUAUUUAUAAGGCCUUGCAUGGUGAAUUAUAAAGCCUUUGUUAUUGCCUGGCUUGGGGUUGGCCACUUGUUUAUGACACCAGUAAUGGUGGUAAUUGUUAUUGUUGAGAUUACCUGUCAAGAGGACCUGGACAGUGAGCUUGGAGAAAGCGUUGCUCUCUUGACAAGG